rnacentral:lncRNA from 1 species
UGGGAGGUCAAGAAAAGAAAACCACACAGGAGACUGCACUGUGCAGCCUGAAGCUGCGAGCGGAUGAUCGAGAGAGAAAGAACAGAGAGUGAGAGAAAAGAGAGAGAAACUUUAGGCCUUGAAAAAUUGCUUGUCAGUUUGUAUCCAAAACAUAGUCUGUGUCUAUUAUUCGCCUUCCAGAUAUCCCUGCUUCCGGUUGAGAACGCCAAUCCUGUGUCGAGGCUGGACCCUGGCAGAGAAUAUAGAGGCACACACUGAUGACGAUUAACUCCGUGGGGAAUGCAGAGGCUCACUUCUUUAUUUUUAAACUGAUCCAGCUCAUCAAUUUACCAACUCAUCAGAUCACUCAUGCGUGCAUUCCCUGACCAAGUGAUGUCAUCUCUGAGACUUUACUCUUCCCACACACGUGAACAACUGAAAUACGCUAAGCUUAUCUUCUAUGUCUGUGGACACUCCAGUAGCCAUCCAAACACAAUCAGAUAUCACCGGACUGAAGACAUUGAGAACAAGAUUCUAGCGAGAUCCCUGCACUCUUAUUUGCUUAAUAGCAGCAUAAAGAUCUACAGAGACAAAAGCAUUCUGCCCGCUUUCCUGCCAGACAGAACCCGAGGAUGCCUUCUUUCUCGUCUUCCUGGAAAUGGACCAGAGGAGUUCUACCUUCCUAAAGC